rnacentral:lncRNA from 1 species
AGGGAAUGAAGCCCAUGGCCGGAGCCUGGGGCAACCCCAGGGCUCCCCUGAGGUCUGGUGGUCCCAUACUCUGUGGUCCUGCUCCAUUACACUCUGACAUGCUCCCAGGGGACCUAGGACAGAGCUGAAGGGAGAGUGAAUGGUGUGUGACUUGAAGCUGAUCUAGUGUGCCCUCCUGCUCUGGUCCUUCCUGGAGUGGCACUAGGUUCACAUUGGGUGAGGGACAGGCUUGUAUGUAUGUUCAGAUGAGGGAUGGCAGGUAUGGAUUCAGGGGGUGAUGAGGUUGCUCCCCUCUGGUUAGGGGCACAGUCCUGCUCUGGUUAGGGACACAGUGUCUUGCCACUGCUAGGAGGCCACCGAACUGCCUCUGGUCGGAACCUGGGACCAUAUGCAUGCACUGCACUUCUGAGCUCCAUUGCUGUGGCUAGGGACAUUAUCCUAGCUGUGUGUUCCCUUGGUCAUAGCCUUGUGGCCAGAAGUUAAACUGGGGAGAGAAGGGUGGGUUUGGAUGGGUACUUUGGAAUGUGGGGAGGGUUUGGAUGGGUACUUUGGAAUGUGGGGAGCUUGUGAUUUGUGCUCACAUCUUG